rnacentral:lncRNA from 1 species
CAAUUUUGAUGGGAAAUUCUAAACUGAGACAGGUGAAGAAUUUUCGGACUAACAUUGUAAUAUCAUAGGCACAUAGAGUUGGAGAAUGAAACCCUAACCCUAAUAUCACAGGGUGAAGUGGGGAGUGGGGUGGCUCACUACCUUCGAGGGGAGGUAGUUGAGGAGAUGUGUGGCGGUGUUCAUGGCCUCUGCCCAAUAGCUGGCAGGGAGAGACUCCUUAAAAAGGAGACAACAGAUCAUGCUCACUACCUUCGAGGGGAGGUAGUUGAGGAGAUGUGUGGCGGUGUUCAUGGCCUCUGCCCAGUAGCUGGCAGGGAGGGAC